AGUUUUGAAAGAAGAUAGUCCCGCGCUGAGUGAGCGCGCAAAAAGCUUGUCAACGUGAACGCGUGCGAGUGACGAAUACAGUCUAGAAGUUUCGUCUAAAAGUUGCGGUUGAUGAUCAGUUUGUGGGUAAAUGUCCACAGCCUGAAAGAAGAUCAGGAGGAGGAAGAAAUCUGCUUCACAACUCAAUAGAAAAAUGCAUGUGGGGAAAAAAGCUUCAUUUCUACAUGAUUUAGUGUGAAAAAGUGUGAAGAAAGUGUGAAACGCACCCUUUCCUUCAUGCGUCCAAGAAUGAACUUCAGAUGCCGCACUGCCAGUGGGAGGUUGUGUCCCGUGGCCGGUGGUCUUCAGACAAACAUCGGAGGUGGUAGACACGGAAACAGCCGUCACACUCCAGCACGUCUCCGGGAAGGUGACACUCAAAGCAGUACCAGU